UAAAAUUGUGUCUUUUUUAAGUUUAAAAAAGCAAACUCUCCAAGGUCAUGCGUUGGCUCCGGGCCUCCUGGAAUUCAGGCCUGUCUGCUGUUCUUCAAGGUGCCAAGUCCGGGGGCCCAGAGGCCAAGGUCACCUGGGGGCCAUCCCUGGGAGGAUGUCUGGGAAGCAGACCCAGUAGGACGCUCCGUCACCUCAAAAGCACCCAGGAAGACGCAGGGUCACAGCUUGUCGAGGUGUUACGGUUUUGAUGAGGUGUGCCCCAGAAGCUCCUGUGUGAGACAAUGCAAGAAGGUUUGGAGGUGCCCGUCUGGAGCUGCUCUCCUCCACCACACUCUUCCGUCAUGAUGUUCUGCCUUACCUCCAGCCCUGAGGAGUGGAGCCAGCCCUGUGUGGACUGAGGCCCCCAAAAACGUGUGUCUCCAAAUAAACUUUUCCUCCUCUAAUUGCUCUUGCCAGGUCCUUCAGUCACAGCAGAGAAAAAGCUGACUAAAACAUGGGGCUUUGACCUGAGGGCGGCUAGCCCCAAGGUCCCUUCCCCACAGGGCCCUUGUCAAAAUCUAUGGCCUUCAGAAUCCGCACCCACUGGCCUGGGCUGUGGCUUAGAGUGGAGGACUUGCCUCCCAUACUGG